CCUACGGGAGGCAGCAGUGAGGAAUAUUGGUCAAUGGGCUUACGCCUGAACCAGCCAAGUCGCGUGAGGGAAGACUGCCCUAUGGGUUGUAAACCUCUUUUGUCAGGGAGCAACGCCGGCUACGUGUAGCUGGACUGAGAGUCCCUGAAGAAAAAGCAUCGGCUAACUCCGUGCCAGCAGCCACGGUAAUACGGAGGAGGCGAGCGUUAUCCGGUUUUAUUGGGUUUAAAGGGUGCGUAGGCGGAAUGCAAAGUCAGCGGUAAAAUCGCGGGGCUCAACCCGCGGACGGCACAUGAUACUGGUAGACUAGAGUGAGGGAGAGGGAACCGGAAUUCGAGGUGUAGCAGUGAAAUGCGUAGAUAUCGAGAGGAACACUCGUGGCGAAGGCGGGUUCCUGGACAUUAACUGACGCUGAGGCACGAAGGCCAGGGGAGCGAAAGGGAUUAGAUACCCGAGUAGUC
rnacentral:rRNA from 1 species